rnacentral:miRNA from 1 species
CUACUGGUCACUCGGAAUCUUGUGCAAAUGCAGAUUCUUGUUGGGUGGUCACUGGGAGCGAGUAGAUUCUGCAUUUUUAACAAGAUUCCAGUGAAUGUGAA